rnacentral:rRNA from 1 species
AGGUCGUAAACUCGAUCUAAGGCUAAAUAUCUCCACAGAACCGAUAGCGAACAAGUACCGUGAGGGAAAGUUGAAAAGCACUCUGGAGAGAGAGUCAAAAGACCGUGAAACCGCUCAGAGUAUAAGCCCAUGGCAGCUUGGAAGGCAUAUCGCUAGCGGGGCAUCGGUCUCCCUUCACGGGGAGCUGGUGUUACCUUGCUUCUGUUGUGGCUCGUUAUGGUAGGGGGGUCAAGUCCACAUCCCGCCGUCGUGUGGGGAGUUCUCGGGCGUGUCGUUGCUUUGCGGUUGACUUCGGUUGGUCGUAGGGCUCUUCGCGCUUGGUUCUCCUUUGGACACGGACGUUCAGACUCAGUUGCAAGACGCGAUAAACAGCCCACCACGGCACGUUGUGAGGUCACCCACAGGCUUGGCUUUCGAUUGUGGUCCUUGACGCCGAGCAAGCACAAUGCGUGUCGCAGAUGUUCCUAACCGGGCAAUGGGCCAGGAUCGUGGAACGACACGCGCUCAAAAGUCAGGACCGGGCGAUGACAAAGUUCUGGUAUGAUCCUCAUGCGACGAGCCGGCUUCUGGCCGAUUCCGAUGCUCAGGUCUCCCGCAUGUGCCGCGGGAGAUCGCUUUGGCGGUCUGGAUCUCAAAGAGUCCUCUCAGCCGGGCAACGGAAAGAGUGGUGUAAAGUCCAAGCCCAUCGGUCACGUCUCGAAACACGGGCCAAGGAGUAUAGCAUGUGUGCAAGUCUAAGGGUCUCACAAAACCCGAAGGCGAAGUGAAAGCAAGUAAGCGGCGGGUGAUCUACGGAGAGAUCCCGUCAGCUAGAGAGGUCCUUCGGGGUCUCUCCGGCUUUGGCAGAGUUG